AGAGACUUAGGAUAAUUAAGACCAAGGGCCUUCAAAGCCCUCAGUAAGGGUGGAAAUCCCUUAGUCCCUG
rnacentral:tRNA from 1 species